UGUGAAAAAUAUGCAAAAUAUAUUUAAUAGAUGCAUAAAAAUCGUAUCAAUGUAAAAAAAUUUUAAAUGCGAAUAUACAAUUUUAAAUUUCCGAUCACGAGUCCAAAGAUCAAAUUUUAAGGGAAAAUAUUUUUACAUUUGUUCGUCCAUCGUUGAACAUCUGUCUUCAGGGCAUCCUCAUUCCCGACCUAGGAAAAGCAUAUCGAAUCAGAAACAGAUUGCAUCGAGGAUAGAGUUUCCAUUCUUCGCCUGGAGAAAGAUCUGAUAAUCGGUAUUAACACGGGUCGGAUCGUAUCUCGAUAUAUCCAACGGAUACAAAAUUGGUGCAGAUGCGAUAGUUAUUAUGGAAAUCAGAAUAUUAUUCGUAAUUGAGGAAGUGGCUCAUUUUCUCGAACGAUCGAAGAAAUUGAUCUGUGAUUAAUAUUGUACACGUGAGCAUAGAACAAAUGAAAUGUUUAUCGGCCAAUUAUAAAAAGUAUUGGGAAUUGUGUUAAUAAUGAUCUCAUCUUUCAUCAAAAGCGUUCUUAUACGAAAUUUGUACUUUUCUAACUCGUUGCACCGUGAUUUUAUUUAUUGAAAUUCUUUGUUUUAGAUUUUUAUAUAAUUAUUCGUACUAUUCAAAUGUAAUAUAUACUCAUCAAACUUUGAAAACUCUUUAAAAAAUCUAUCAAAUCAACAUACCGAAUUUAUAUUCCUCAUUUCAUUUCUUAUUUACGUUUAAAAAUUUCAAUUCUCUCGAAUAAAUUUCUACACACCAAUUCUUCACAAAAUCCCAAUUCGUCGAUAAAAUUUAUUUUUUUUGAAUCUUGAAUCGAUUCAGAAUUUCUCCAGCAAUAUAAUAUAUAAUCGUUUACAAUUAUUCACAAUUUCCUUUAAGAUUAGUCAUCAAUCAUCUGCUACAAAAUAUUAAUAAAUUCAUCAAUAAAAUUUUAUUUUUUCGAAUUCACAGUACAUCUAUAAUUUCUCCAAUCCAGCAAUCGAGUAAGAAUUCACCAAAUUCUCACCUUUGCUUAUUUUUUCCCUCCUCGAGCAAUCGAAAGAUUGCAGAAACGGUUGCAAAACCCGAUAAAUCAAAAAAGAAGGGAUUGCAUUCAUCCCUAGACGGGAGCGCGAAGAUGAAAACGAUACGAAGCUCUGAGCGGUUACUCGAGGCGAGAGGUAUAGAAAUUAAUGGCCGAUCGGCCUCGUUUCACGAUAUGUUCAAAUGGGCAGGAAUGGAAAGCGAAUCAAGUACUGACCAUUCCUCGUUUCCAGUUCGAGUUCUUCUUCCUGUAUUUUGCGGUGAGAAAACGUGCAUCUUGCUGGCCACGAUCUGCCCUUUAGGCUAUCACGAGCUCGCGUUUUUCCAGACCUUUGUCGUGGCCACGUAUAUAUGGGAAGAAUCGUAAUAGAUUUAACGCAUGCUCCGUUUUGACGAAAUUACCGACCAAUCUGCUUCCAAUCGUCUUGCGCAUUGCGCGAGUGUUAACCCUUUUACGAAGAAGCGAUUUUAGAUGAAAAAAGAAAUCGAAAUUGGUUUGCAGUAGUGGAAAGAAUUCUAUUUUUGGUCUUUUAGAUUUAAAAAAUAUAUAUAUAUAUACAAUAAAAUAUAUACAUAUGUAUUAUAUAUUUAUUUUAUUAUAUGUUGGAAUGAUCUAUAGUUUGAGAAUUUGAUUCAUAAGAUAAAUAAUAAGUGAUUGUGGUUCUUCUUUAAAAAAAAAUCGUAUGCAGUGGAAAAAUUGGAAUUAAAAAUACUUAUAAUUUUGAGGUUAUACAUAAUUUCGAGAAAUUGAAAUCUCCUUAAUUAAAAUCUUAUUUUAUAUCUCUUCUCAAGUUAUAAAUUAUCGAAUCUCGUUAUCGAAGUUCAAUUGUGAUAUUUUAUAUAACGACAAUAAUAUAAAACAACAAUUAUACGACACAUAUUCUAAUCACGAAGGAUCACAUAAAAUAUAACUUCAUCAAAUAAUAAAACAAGGACUACAGUAAAAUUCCAGAUGCUCGUAAACAUUGGUUUAUAGUUUUUCCCAGGACUUAGGUCGGGUGAGACCUUUCGUAUCCUUUUAUAGCCAUACUAUUAUCAUGGAAUCUUAUAAAUGUUUGAACAACCAUCCCAAAGAAAUUUUAUCAUGUUGCGGCGGCUAUCGCGUGGUUGCACGUGAAACGUUUUAGUAACCAGUAUAGAGACACAAAAUAAUUCACUUGAAUUCGUAAGAAAUGCAUUGCCGAUAUACUCGGACCACUGGUUUAUCGGUCUGGUUCAUUAAUCUUUUACAUGGAAAGAUCGUUUGGCGAUUUAAUGAAUAACGAUAUAAUGAAUUUCUUAAUUAAGAGAUUUUGUCUCUUAAUUGUCGAACUAAUUGAUUUUUGCCAAGAAUGAAAGACAAGAAUUUUUAAAGAUGAAAUUAUAGAAAAAAAAUUGUGAAAAAAUUGUUAUUUGGAUUAAUGGAUAAUUGCUAAUUUUAAUUGCUAAGAUUUUUAAUUAAUUGUUAGAUUUGUAUUUUAGAUAAUAAUUGGAAUUUUCUAAUCUUUAUUUUAACGUAUUAGUUUAAUCUAUUUUUCAACAAUCUUUUUUAAUUUCUAUUUUUUAAUUUUUUUUAACAAAUUUUUUAUUGAUUAAUUGAAUUUUGAUACACAAGUAAUUUUUUUAUUGAAAUACUUUAACGAGAUAAAAUUAUUUUCAAUUUUUUAAUUCUACAUUUUAAAUUAUAAAAUCUUUAGAAUUGAAUGUUCUAUCAAUAGAAAUUCCAAUAAAAAAAUUAUCUAUUAUAUUCUACAUAUACAUAAACUUUCAUUAAAAUAUUUUAAAUUAUCAUAUAGUACUAAGAAGAAUAGUAUAUAUAUCCGUUCCAUCUUCUUUUUUAAACAAAAUCGAUUUUAUCCAUUUUCAGUAUGUUCUUCUUCUUCCCAACAUAUUUCUUGUCGCGGAAAUGGAAGACAGAUUAAUGCUAUGGGAUUUCGUUAGAGACAACAAUGGUGUUCGAUACAAUUAGCCUAGGAGUUAUACGUCGUGCAUCGUGGACGAUGGAUGGAAUGCGAAACACGGAAACAAAACGACAACUAGCUAGAACCUAUUAAUCGUGUCCUUACGACUCUCGUCACAUGUAAAUUACAGUGAUUAAAGUCUGCGCAGUUAAUGAACCUUGGAGAGAGAAUUUACUGCCUAAUAUCGUGGAUUCUUUUGCUCAUGUCGUCAUUACAAUUUAUAUAAGAAAUGAGUCUUUGUGACUUAAUUGCAGAAUCGCAACUAAAUGAUUCUAAUUGCGAAUCUAAAUAUGGUAGACGUUUUGAUAUUUUUUUAAUGAAGGAUGUAAUGAAGAAUAUAAAUAUUGAUAAGUAAUAUAUUUAAUAAUGAAAAAUUGAAAUGAUUAUUAAACUUCAUUGAGGUUAAUUAUUUGUUUUUUGAAAGUUUAAAUAUAAUAUUCGUACAUUUGGGAUUAAA